GACGAACGCUGGCGGCGUGCCUAAUACAUGCAAGUCGAGCGCAGGAAACUGACGGAACUCUUCGGAGGGAAGGCAGCGGAAUGAGCGGCGGACGGGUGAGUAACACGUAAGGAACCUGCCUCAAGGAUUGGGAUAACUCCGAGAAAUCGGAGCUAAUACCGGAUAGUUCACCGGACCGCAUGGUCGGUUGAUGAAAGGCGCUCCGGCGUCACCUUGAGAUGUCCUUGCGGGGCGUUAGCUAGUUGGUGGGGUAACGGCCCACCAAGGCGACGAGGCAUAGCCGACCUGGAAGGGUGAUCGGCCACACUGGGACUGAGACACGGCCCAGAUUCCUACGGGAGGCAGCAGUAGGGAAUCUUCCACAAUGGACGCAAGUCUGGUGGAGCAACGCCGCGUGAGUGAUGAAGGUUUUCGGAUCGUAAAACUCUGUUGUAAGGGAAGAACACGUACGAGAGGAAAUGCUCGUACCUUGACGGUACCUUACGAGAAAGCCACGGCUAACUACGUGCCAGCAGCCGCGGUAA
rnacentral:rRNA from 1 species